rnacentral:rRNA from 1 species
UAGCGGAGCGUGUGGUUUAAUUCGAUGCAACACGAAGAACCUUACCAAGGCUUGACAUGCUGGAAGUAGUGAACCGAAAGGGGAGCCACCUGUUAAGUCAGGAGCCUGCACAGGUGCUGCAUGGCUGUCGUCAGCUCGUGCCGUGAGGUGUUGGGUUAAGUCCCCCAACGAGCGUAACCCUUAUUGCCAGUUAUUUUCUCUGGCGAGACUGCCUCGCAAAACGGGGAGGAAGGUGGGGAUGACGUCAAGUCAGCACGGCCCUUAUGCCUUGGGCUACACACACGCUACAAUGGACGGAACAAUAGGUUGCAAUGGAGCGAUUCGGAGCUAAUCCUGAAAGCCGAUCUCAGUUCGGAUCGCAGGCUGAAACCCGCCUGCGUGAAGUCGGAGUUGCUAGUAACCGCAUAA